rnacentral:rRNA from 1 species
UACGUAUGGGGCGAGCGUUGUCCGGAAUCAUUGGGCGUAAAGCGCGUGUAGGCGGCCCGGUAAGUCCGCUGUGAAAGUCCAGGGCUCAACCCUGGGAUGCCGGUGGAUACUGUCGGGCUCGAGUCCGGAAGAGGCGAGUGGAAUUCCUGGUGUAGCGGUGAAAUGCGCAGAUAUCAGGAGGAACACCAAUGGCGAAGGCAGCUCGCUGGGACGUGACUGACGCUGAGACGCGAAAGCGUGGGGAGCAAACAGG